rnacentral:rRNA from 2 species
UACGAAGGGUGCAAGCGUUACUCGGAAUUACUGGGCGUAAAGCGUGCGUAGGUGGUUGUUUAAGUCUGUUGUGAAAGCCCUGGGCUCAACCUGGGAAUUGCAGUGGAUACUGGGCGACUAGAGUGUGGUAGAGGGUAGUGGAAUUCCUGGUGUAGCAGUGAAAUGCGUAGAGAUCAGGAGGAACAUCCAUGGCGAAGGCAGCUACCUGGACCAACACUGACACUGAGGCACGAAAGCGUGGGGAGCAAACAGG